rnacentral:rRNA from 1 species
CCUACGGGAGGCUGCAGUAGGGAAUAUUGCACAAUGGGCGAAAGCCUGAUGCAGCAACGCCGCGUGAGUGAUGAAGGCCUUCGGGUCGUAAAACUCUUUUUGAGGAGAUGAGGAAGGACAGUAUCCUCAGACUAAGGAUCGGCUAACUACGUGCCAGCCGCCGCGGUAAAACGUAGUAUCCGAGCUUUAUCCGAAUUUACUGGGCGUAAAGCGCGUGCAGGCGGUUUUGCAAGUUGGAUGUGAAAGCUCCUGGCGAAACUGGGAGAGGCCGUUCAAAACUACCAGACUAGAGGGCGACAGAGGGAGGUGGAAUUCCCGGUGUAGUGGUGAAAUGCGUAGAUAUCGGGAGGAACACCUGUGGCGAAAGCGGCCUCCUGGGUCGUACCUGACGCUCAGACGCGAAAGCUAGGGGAGCGAACGGGAUUAGAUACCCCGGUAGUC